GGGUAUGCUUUUUCGCUGAUUUACAAUAAUCCAAAUUCAUUCAACAGGGUAAUGAACAAAUUCAUGCGCGUAUGCACUUGUUGUGAACUAGGCAGACAUUUUCAAUUAAAGAAGUUCUCUUUUGCACAUAAAUAAGAAUAAUCCAGAUAAUUAUUACUGAAUGAGACCCAGUGUUCCUUAAAUCAUCCUACAUUUUAGACCCUAUUCACCUGUGUAUAUUCCGGUUUGCUCAACUGAACUCACCUGCUUAUCAACAGGUGUGAGUUCUUCUUAUGAAAGAGUAUUUUGUAAGUCACUUGGGGGAGGAAAUUGCUGCUUUGAGUCAACUGUGUUUUGUCAUGUUGCACUGUCCUGCCAGACCCGCCUGCGCCCCUUUUGCACAGAUGGGACGCUCCGAGCAGUCAGAGUUUAAAUAGAGAUGAAGUACAGGUCAGUCCUUCAACUGCCGCAUCCUGUGGGAGCACACAAGAGGUCGGUACAGUUGCCUACAGUGCGGACACUGCACCCCAGACCGGGGGGAGAUGACCGCUCACAUUGAGGCCCAGCACAAGAACCCAGGGGGCAAAGUGAACAGUGAUCAUGAUACAGAGAUGGGCAAGCGCAUCUUUACUGGCUAGACUUCACUGCACUCUGAGAACUCUACUUAUACACAGCUCUAACAUCGAAUGAGAUGCUAAACCUGCUGAAUCACAAAUAACUUUUGUAGUAGCAUUUUAUACAGAGGGAGAAACUCAAUGUUUUCAUUUCACAGACAGUGUGGACUUCAAAGCAUCUGUGGUCUGGAUCUGUCCAUAUCACUAUUCAAAACACAUGAAGUGCAU